rnacentral:rRNA from 1 species
UACGUAGGGGGCAAGCGUUAUCCGGAUUCACUGGGUGUAAAGGGAGCGUAGACGGCGACGCAAGUCUGGAGUGAAAGCCCGGGGCCCAACCCCGGGACUGCUCUGGAAACUGCGUCGCUGGAGUACGGGAGGGGCAGGCGGAAUUCCUGGUGUAGCGGUGAAAUGCGUAGAUAUCAGGAGGAACACCGGCGGCGAAGGCGGCCUGCUGGACCGUGACUGACGUUGAGGCUCGAAAGCGUGGGGAGCGAACAGG